rnacentral:lncRNA from 1 species
UGUGCGUGUGUAAGAGUGUGUGUGUGUGUCUGUGUGUGUGUGUGUGUGUGUGUGAUAUUGACUCAGUUGUUAUCAUUGUCUGCAGGAAAAAAAUGUAUGAGUGGAAAUGUUUAUGGUUGAUAAAUCCAGCCAAGGAGAUUAAAGGGGUUCGGAUCAAUUCUGGGUGUAAAUGCUCAGACUAAAAAGAAACGGCAGCUUUGCACAGUGCGCUGGCCUUGCACGAGUUUGUUUCCCAUUGGGGGAAAGGGAUGAGUAAAAGGAAAGGAAGGAAAGGUACCUUUUUUAUGGAAUGAGUAGACUGUAUGUUUGACAUUUUAGCUGUGACCUCUUUGACGUACAAGGAAGGACAGAACAAAAAGGUGCUGCUUAGUCCUGUGCCUCAGACGAUGCCCCAGGAUGCCCCACUGUGUGCAGAGCCUCUGGCUAGAGUGUACCCUCCAUGUAUUAGUAACCCCGUAUUCCAUUUUGUUAACGCCUAGCAGAUGUAACCUGCUAGGAGCUGACUUUAUACUUAUUUAAAGCUCUUAUUUUAUGGUCAUUAAAAUGGCAGUUUCUGUGCAGCACUUUAUUGCGGCAGGAGAAGGUUUGAUUCAGUUGCAUAGCCCCUUGCUCAUCUUUAAAAAAGUAAUGGGUGGUUUAAAAAGGAAAAGAAAAUCUUUGUCUGAAUAUGUUCACUGCUUGGAUUUGUAAGACAGCAGAAUUUCCAGUAUGCAACAGGCUGAAGGAGCGGGAAGAAAUGUGCUUUGUAUAAAAAUGGGAAGUUUGUUAUAUGAAAGGUUGGUUCUGUAUUAUUUAUCAGCGGAAGAACUGGUGUCCAGGAGGAAUGCUCUUUCCCACACUGUGUUAUCCUCGAUAAUACCCACCUUUCUUUUUGUUACUUUAACCAGGGGGAAAUAAACGCCUCCCUGAUGUUCUUCCUCUAGUCGAGACUGCUUCCCUGAAGUGAAUGCAGUCGGACAGGAAGCCAGAGACUGAACAGUCCACAUCAUCAGCUCCUUAUACCUUCGCAGCCUCCCUCUCCAAACCUAGCAGGGCCCUGCUUCCCUCCCCACCUGACAUCCAGCCGUGGAUGAGGGGCCUGCUUAGGGCCCUGGCAAACAAGUUCACACUACAGAGAUGUCCACAAAGCAGGGAGAGCAACCAGCUAGGCCAGAAAGGCCCCAAAGCCUCAGUCAUUCUCCAGCAGAGACCUUUGCUCUUGGCCUUGUUUAACCCGAUGUUCAACUCACCAUGUCAAUAUCUCAGUAAAAGACACUAUAGACACUUCUGGACAAUAUGCCCCCAAGGUCACUGGGUUUAUGGGUGGGUUUGUUGUUUUUUUUUUUUUUAAUUUGCUUUUGCUUUUUUGUUUUAAAGUUAUGUCUUUAUCCCCAUUUAAUGGAGAAUGUGCCAUUUGGCUAAUAAUGUUUUCAAAACUGCAGGUUCAGUGAUAAGGGAGAGGGAACUGCAGUGACCCCACCCCCACCCCCAAGAGGCUGGCAGAAAGGUGACUCACAGAAGCACCAGCAGGUUAAGAACCUGAAUGGGUGUCCCUGACCACGAGGACCCUAGGUUUUACAGCAUGUCACUUGUGCAAUAAGAGGUCUUCUGGUGGGACCGUGCGAGAGGGGAGGUGGGCGGAGACGCUUACUGCUCAAAUGCCGUGCAUUUCAUUGCUUGCCACUGAACCUGUAUUUGAAUGACUUAGUAAUGCUUAAUGUAAUUGGGCAACUUUUUUAGCACUUUGGAAAGAGUCACCAAUCUUUCUGGUAAAUUAUAAAAAGUUUUCUGAGUGAGAAAACGUGUGUUUGCAGUUUGUUUGACUUUUUAUAUUAUUGUUGUUGUUAUUAAUAAAAAAAAAGAAAAUCUACAGCAUUUUUCAGAGUCCACCUAGAUAAAAUGUGCCCCCGAAUCUGGUUUGCAGUUUGAUGCUCAGGGAAGGAUGCGUUCUGUAGAUUUCCUUCCCAUGGAAACACUAACACCUUUGAGAAAGUCGCCUAGCAACUUUGGGUUCUCACUAUGUGUUCUCCCAGGAGAGCUGGCUUGCUUUCCAUUUAGUGAUGCAGGUAGGGUUCUAAGCACUUUCUCUCUCCUGUCCUUUCUUUUCUUUCUCUCUCUCUUUCUUUCUUUCUUUCUUUCUUUCUUUUUUUUUAACUCCUCAUAUUAUGUUCAGACGCUCAUACUGUCAAGGUUUGUGUACAUUACUGAAAAUUUGUAUUGUAAAAAGCUUUUGCAUUACAAGGCUGUACAGGGUCAUUUUGACAGUAACUGGUAUUUUCCUCUGCAUCUUACGUUGCAUUGCCAAUUUCUAGUGUAUCAAGUUUGAAGUAUAAUAUACUCU